UAUGGCCAUAUAGCAUCAAAACACCAGUUCCUAUAUGAUUACAGAAGUUAAGCAAUAUCGAGCCUAGUCAGUACCUAGAUGAGUGACCACUUGUGAAUACAAGGUGCUGUAAG